ACUUGCACAAAGAUGUGGAGAUUAAAAAUAGCACAAGGGGGCAAUAACCCAUACCUGUAUAGCACAAACAACUUUGUCGGGAGACAAAUAUGGGAGUUUGAUCCGAAUUAUGGAAGUCCAGAAGAACAUGCUGAGGUGGAACAAGCCCGUGAGCAUUUCUGGAAACAUAGACAUGAAGUUAAGCCUAAUAGUGAUCUUCUUUGGCGGAUGCAGUUUUUACGAGAGAAGCAAUUUGAACAAACGAUACCCCAAGUGAAAAUAGAGGACGGUGAAGAAAUAUCGUAUGAAAAAGCUACAACCACAUUGAAGAGAGCGGUUAAUUUCUUUGCAGCCUUGCAGGCCGACGAUGGCCAUUGGCCAGCUGAAAUUGCUGGCCCUCAGUAUUUUAUGCAGCCCUUGGUAAUGUGUGUGUAUAUCACAGGGCACCUUAACAGUGUUUUCCCACCAGAAUAUCAAAAAGAAAUUCUACGGUCUUUAUACACUCAUCAGAACGAAGACGGUGGGUGGGGAUUUCACAUAGAGGGUCACAGCACAAUGUUCUGCACCGCCCUUAGUUACAUUUGUAUGCGUCUUUUAGGAGAAGGGCCUGAUGGUGGUCUGAAUGGUGCAUGCACCAAAGCCCGCAAAUGGAUUCUUGAUCAUGGCAGUGUUACAUACAUUCCAUCAUGGGGCAAAACAUGGCUUUCUAUACUUGGUUUAUGUGAGUGGGCUGGAAGCAACCCAAUGCCCCCUGAGUUCUGGAUCCUUCCUUCUUUCCUACCUAUGCAUCCAGCAAAAAUGUGGUGCUACUGUCGGAUGGUAUACAUGCCAAUGUCGUACCUAUACGGUAAAAGAUUUGUGGGUCCUAUUACUCCAUUGAUUCUGCAACUUAGAGAAGAACUUUAUGCACAACCCUAUGAAGAAAUCAAAUGGAGAAGCAUAAGACAUUUGUGCGCAAAGGAAGAUCUAUAUUAUCCUCAUCCGUUACUACAAGAUUUAAUGUGGGACAGUCUCUAUAUUUUGACUGAGCCUUUGUUGAAUCGCUGGCCAUUUAACAAACUGCGUGAGAGAGCACUCCAAACAACAAUGAGGCAUAUCCAUUAUGAAGAUGAAAACAGCAGAUAUAUCACAAUUGGUUGUGUAGAAAAGUCACUGUGCAUGCUUGCAUGCUGGGUCGAGGAUCCGGAUGGUGUUUGUUACAAAAAGCACCUUGCUCGAGUCCCGGAUUAUCUUUGGGUUGCUGAAGAUGGGAUGAAAAUGCAGAGUUUUGGGAGUCAAGAGUGGGAUGCUGGCUUUGGAAUUCAAGCUCUGUUGGCUAGUGGUUUUACCGAUGAAAUUGGCCCUACUUUGAAGAAAGGACAUGAAUUCAUUAAAGCUUCACAGGUUAAGGACAAUCCUUCUGGAGACUUUAAAAGCAUGUACAGACAUAUUUCUAAAGGAUCAUGGACCUUUUCGGAUCAAGAUCAUGGAUGGCAAGUUUCAGACUGUACUGCUGAAGGAUUAAAGUGUUGCCUCCUAUUGUCAACUAUGCCACCAGAAAUCGUCGGUGAAAAAAUGAAUCCUGAGCAACUGUAUGAUGCUGUCAACGUAAUGCUUUCCUUACAGUUCUGUUCGACUGCGAUGAUAAUGUAGAGCAAAAAUGGUGGAUUAGCCGCGUGGGAACCAGCAGGAGCAUCAGACUGGCUGGAGAUUCUCAAUCCUACAGAAUUCUUUGCUGACAUCGUCAUUGAGCACGAGUAUGUUGAGUGCACAGCAUCAGCAAUGCAGGCCUUAGUUUUGUUUAAGAAGUUAUACCCCAUGCAUAGGAGAAAAGAGAUUGAAAACUUUCUUAUUGGUGCAAGUGGAUACCUAGAGAAAGUACAGAUGCAAGAUGGCUCAUGGUAUGGAAACUGGGGUAUUUGUUUUACAUACGGAACCUGGUUUGCCCUUGGAGGACUAGCAGCAGCAGGAAAGACAUAUGAGAACUGUCUCGCGGUUCAUAAAGGCGUCAAAUUCCUGUUGGAAACACAGAUGGAGGACGGUGGGUGGGGAGAAAGCUACAAAUCCUGCCCAGAAAAGAAAUAUAUACCCUUGGAAGGUGGGUCGAAUCUGGUGCACACUGCAUGGGCAAUGAUGGGACUUAUUCAUGCUCGACAGAUGGAGAGAGAUGCAACACCCCUACACAAAGCCGCCAAGUUGUUGAUUAACUCUCAGUUGGAAACUGGUGAUUUCCCGCAACAGGAAAUAACUGGAGUAUUCAUGAAGAACUGCAUGCUACACUAUCCACUCUACAAGAAUAUAUAUCCAAUGUGGGCUCUAGCCGAAUAUCGCAAGCAUGUGCUGACGCAACUCUAAGGGAUCAAGAACCAUCAAGCCAGUGAUGCAUUUAAAUGUUGAUGAGGUGAUGGUCAAGAUCCAUUACCCAAAAUAAAUAAAUGGGUUGUUCGGAAUAAUAUGAUGUUGUUGUGUACUAUGUGGCCAUGUGCUUUGUGAGUUUAUAUUUGUGAUGAUCA